ACCAGGCAACCCAGGCAUGUGAAAGAACAACCAAUGAGGCACCGACAGACAAGCAGUGGUAACCACCUGUCAAUCAGUGGAAUCUCCUGACUGAUCCUGGAAGGACAUGGAGCUCAGCAAGAUCCCCUGACCAACCCCAGGAAGACAAGGGACCCUAAAAAUCUCCCUUUCCUGUUCCAAGCCCUCUCUUCCUGCCCUAAGCCUGA
rnacentral:lncRNA from 1 species